rnacentral:lncRNA from 13 species
AUACUAACAGUUUCCAAAUAUUGUUUUGGCUGUUUAAGACACUACAUUCAACAUGGAAGUUUAAGUAUAAAGGUGUAAGAAAUCUCCCUUCUGAAACUUGUCGUCUACUUGAAGGAAAGGAAUAUUCAAGAAUCCUACAAAUAAGAGGCAUAUAAGAAAAUGUAAUAGAUGUUUCACCUAGUUAGGAUUUCUGUAGAAGUUAAUGUUUGUGGGGAGCAGUAGCCAUCUUGUAACUAUGUUGCUUAAGCUUUUGUUCCUCUUAACUAAACCUCCAUCUUGUGGGCUUCCCUUAUUGUUUAAGUUUCACAUUCCUCCUAGUUAGAGGCUAGCCUGCAGCCUCGUCUCCAUGGUUACUCUCUGACCUCAGCCCUCAGAACUUCCCGUUCUUACUUGUUUAUAAGCUAAGCAACCGCCUUGUAGCUAAUAAACGAGACUUGAUCAGAUCCUUGACUUGUCUCCAUUCUCUGUGUCUCCUGUCUCUCUCUUUUAAUCCCCACUCAAUCCCGCAGGUCGGGACAAAUGUUAAUCAUUAAAUUUUGAAAAAGUAGGAAAUAAUUAUAUAAUAAUAGGGAGGUAAGAGGAUCUCCGGUAGAGGACCUUAAGAUUUAUGAAGUUCAUGGUUUUCCUCUCUGAUCAUUUGCCUGAACUACAUGGGGAAAAAGAGUACUCAAGGUUGGAAGUCCAAGAUUAGGAGACCAGGCUUGUGUCUUGUUGUCAGAUGGGUCCUUGUUGAUGUACCUUCCAGAGAGGAUCAACACUGUGUCCUCACAUGGUGGAAGAGAAGAGAGAGAACCCACUUCAGCAAGCCCUUUUGUUCCAGCAUUAACCCAGUUAUGAGGAGGGUAGAGCCAUCUUAUAAUAGACCCCACCUCUCAACAAUGUUGCACUGGUGAUUAAGUUUCCAGCAAAUGACUUUGGGAAAUUCAGACCAUAGCAGUAGGUAUGUAUCAAUUGUCCUCUAAAUGAGUGAAGACUGCAGUUUCAUUAUGAUCACUUCAUUUUGGUUUGUCUGCCCCAAGUAUUUCAUUCAGAACGGCAUAGUCCAAAUGACAUUUCUCAUUUCUUAGUAAAUUGAAUAUUCUACAAAAUAAAAUUAUGAACUCUAGGAACUGAAGUAUGUAC